AUUGAACGCUGGCGGCAUGCUUUACACAUGCAAGUCGAACGGUAACAGGCCGCAAGGUGCUGACGAGUGGCGAACGGGUGAGUAAUGCAUCGGAACGUGCCCAGUCGUGGGGGAUAACGCAGCGAAAGCUGCGCUAAUACCGCAUACGAUCUAUGGAUGAAAGCGGGGGACCGUAAGGCCUCGCGCGAUUGGAGCGGCCGAUGUCAGAUUAGGUAGUUGGUGGGGUAAAGGCUCACCAAGCCGACGAUCUGUAGCUGGUCUGAGAGGACGACCAGCCACACUGGGACUGAGACACGGCCCAGACUCCUACGGGAGGCAGCAGUGGGGAAUUUUGGACAAUGGGCGCAAGCCUGAUCCAGCAAUGCCGCGUGCAGGAAGAAGGCCUUCGGGUUGUAAACUGCUUUUGUACGGAACGAAACGGCGAGCUCUAAUACAGUUUGCUAAUGACGGUACCGUAAGAAUAAGCACCGGCUAACUACGUGCCAGCAGCCGCAGUAACAC
rnacentral:rRNA from 1 species